AGCGAACGCUGGCGGCAGGCUUAACACAUGCAAGUCGAACGCCCCGCAAGGGGAGUGGCAGACGGGUGAGUAACACGUGGGAACGUACCCUUUGGUUCGGAAUAACUUGGGGAAACUCAAGCUAAUACCGGAUAAGCCCUUAUGGGGAAAGGUUUACUGCGCGAAGGAUCGGCCCGCGUCUGAUUAGCUAGUUGGUGAGGUAAUGGCUCACCAAGGCGACGAUCAGUAGCCGGUCUGAGAGGAUGAUCAGCCACACAGGGACUGAGACACGGCCCAGACUCCUACGGGAGGCAGCAGUGGGGAAUAUUGGACAAUGGGGGCAACCCUGAUCCAGCCAUGCCGCGUGAGUGAUGAAGGCCUUAGGGUUGUAAAGCUCUUUUACCCGGGACGAUAAUGACUGUACCGGGAGAAUAAGCCCCGGCUAACUUCGUGCCAGCAGCCGCAGUAA
rnacentral:rRNA from 1 species